AGCGAACGCUGGCGGCAUGCCUAAUACAUGCAAGUCGAGCGCGCGUAGCAAUACCUCGGCGGCAGACGGGUAGGUAACGACGGGUGAGUUACCUGUUGGUUCGGUACAACACAGGGAGACUUGUGCUAAUACCGCAUAAGCUAUUACGGGGUAAGAUUUAUCGCCGCAAGAUCUGACCGAGGCUGAUUAGCUAGCUGGUGAGGUAACGGCUCACCAAGGCGACGAGCAGUAUCGGGACUGAGAGGAUGAUCAACCACAUUGGGACUGAGACACGAGCCAAACUCCGACGGGAGGCGGAAGUGGGGAAGAUUGGACAAGGGGGGGAACCGUGAGCUAGCCAUGCCGCGAGAGUGAUGAAGGCACUAGGAUUGUAAAGCUAUUUUGAGCGGGAAGAUAAUACCGGAACCGCACGGAUAGGCCCGGGCAAAUAUGGG
rnacentral:rRNA from 1 species